AAGAACGAACGCUGGCGGCGCGUCUUAAGCAUGCAAGUCGAACGGCAAGAGGUAGCAAUACCUCCUAGAGUGGCGGACUGGUGAGUAACACGUGGGUGACAUACCCUUCAGAUGGGGAUAGCUAUUAGAAAUAGUAGAUAAUACCGAAUACGAGCACGAGGGGUUAGAGAUCUGUGAGGAAAGGAGCUAAGGCUCCGCUGAAGGAAUGGCCUGCGGCCCAUUAGCUAGUUGGUGAGGUAAGAGCCCACCAAGGCGAUGAUGGGUAUCCGGCCUUAGAGGGUGAACGGACACAUUGGGACUGAGAUACGGCCCAGACUCCUACGGGAGGCAGCAGCUAAGAAUAUUCCGCAAUGGACGAAAGUCUGACGGAGCGACGCCGCGUGGAUGAAGAAGGCCGGAAGGUUGUAAAAUCCUUUUGAAACUGAAGAAUAAGCGUUGUAGGGAAUGACAGCGUGGUGACAGUAGGUUUUGAAUAAGCAACGGCUAAUUACGUGCCAGCAGCGGC
rnacentral:rRNA from 1 species